UUGUUUUGUGCUAUAUCAUGACUGCUUGUGAAGUAUUAUUUUGCGUGUUUUAUUUAAAUCAGUGAUCUGCAGCCUAAUUAAAGUUUAAAUUAUUGAAGCACGCAUUUUUAAAUAAGUAACAAGGAAAAUAAAAGUUUUCUAAAGCCAAAAUAUGGAAUUGAGGGUGAUACAGUAAUACUUCAUUGCACUGUCAAUUCGAAGCACGCAAAAGAAGCUACGCCAACAAUGGUCAACAUCAAUGGCGAAACCAUUGAAUACGUACGCAAACUUAUUAGUGUCACUUAUGGUAGCAGCGUAGAACUUUCGAAGCGAUGGAAUAUGUGCUGCAAGCAAAUCCAGAACGAUGAAUGCAAACGCUGCUACAUGGAACACAAAUCAUUUACACACCAGAUAUUAGGUUUAAUGUAAUUUUUUUACGUGCAAUUAAACCUUUUGGUCAACACAUGCACGAGAAUUGGAACGACAUGGUUUAGGUGAUUUUGUAACCGUUUAUCAUCGCGACGUGUGUCAACUGGGUUUUGCCAAUGAGCUAGAGGGCAAAGCAAAUGCAGUAUUUUUGGACUUACCAGCACCUCAGUUUGUCAUACCAGCAGCUGAAACAUGGAAAUUAGAGAGUAAAUUUGAAUGAAUGUUUGUGCUCAUAGAAAUUUAAAAACUUCUUGUAUGUUUAAUUAAGAGGACUGUUUUGAUUAAUUUUCGCCUUGUAUUGAGGAAUCAUAACGUUGUUGUAUCGUUUUACAAGGACAUGGAUUCACCGAAAUUAGUUCAAUGGAAAAACUACAGCAAGAGCAUGGAUGUUAUGACUAGAACGUUGCCCGUGCUAUAUUUAGAAUUCCUGAAACAUAAGGUAAUUAUUAGCAACUUUUAUGUUGUAAAAAUUAAAAAUUUACUUUAUAUGUUAUAGAAACCCUCCUCCCAGAAAUUGGAUGAAUCUAGUACUAGUGAAAUUAAUGAAAAUAGCGGGUAUAGUUUCAGGGCUUUUGUGGGUCGCAGUACUGAAAGUGCUCGUGGAGUUUUCGUUCGCAGUUUUGGGUAUUUUAUCCGUAAUA